AAAAAAGAUGAACGGUGUUGUAGCAAGGGAUUACUGUAUGUGACAAUAAAAAGACAGUCAAAAAGAAAUACAAUAUUAAUGAUUAAAAAACAUACAACCUGACAAAGAGGAAACAAUACAGUAUAACAAAUGCAUGUAAAUAGUAAAUAGUCAUUAUAAUAAUUUGUACAAGUGUAUUUAUUAUGUUUGUGAGGAGGAUUAUGGCAAUAUGAUGAUGGUUUAAAAAAAUCAAUUAUAAUAAUUAGGAGGAUAAGAGAAAAUUACCAACACAAUGUCAUAGGGGUACCAAGGAUAUCUUUGAUAGUGGCAUUAACUCUUUCGGGGACAGUGGUUACUAGAGUGGACAGCUAUUCACAUGUUUUCCCUUAUAUUAAUUGUGUGAUUGUAGUUGAGGCAGUGGAUUAUGUUUAUUAUUAUUAUUAUUGUUCGCAACAACUGCAGCUGUAACAAAACACUUUAUAAAACGGUUAACAUAAAAUAACAAAAUAAUCUAACACAACACAAAACAAAAAACACGGACAGUCAUGCAAUCUUAAUCACGUUUACUACAUACGCUUUGUUGUUUGAAGCAGUUCUAACACCAGUGAAAGAGAGACUCCGUGCUCAAAAUGUACACACGUCUGCUACAAGCCAAGUUAGAAAGUAAACAAUAAGUUGUAGCGUCCAUCAACUAAAAAAGAGAUUGGUUAACUUCCCCCGUCCCAUGUAAAUCCGUUUCAAUUCCAAGCGCCCGCGCCGAUGCUCCUCUCUCCUCAUGCUCAGCUCCACAAGCCAAUCAUCCAACUGCACCAGCGCAGACUGUCCAACAGCACCAACAUGUGAAAAAUGUUGGCCGUUACAGGCGCAAAAACACAAGCGCCCCGGGAUGUCCAGCGGCAACAGUCAAAUAGCGCCAACAUUCCUUCCAAUCAAAAUCAGUGCUGUGUGUUGCCGAGAAAGCGCAACCACCACAUACAGAUUCUUCUCCUUUGGCAAAUGUCGUAGCCAAAAAUGCUUAAAACAGUCGACUUCGGGUCCACACAAAUAACAACAAACACCAUGUGACAAAAAAAAUCGGAAUCAUCUUUAGCUCUCGAAGAGCACUUGCUGACGGCUGAUGGCUGCCAACUGCAGCACUGUUUUGGAUGCUACCUGUUGACAAUAGGCAGCCAGAACCAAAUAGAGUCACUGCCUGGCACACAGUUCUCUUCCAGGCUCAGCCAAUCAGAUGUUGAGGUUGUAGAAUAGUCAGAAAAUUCCCAAUUAGAUGUUGCAAUGCCAAAUUUUUCCUGGUUGUUUCAGUCACAUAUCUUCAACCCCUAUACCAAGUUAAUAGCUAAACAUACUGACCUGAAGGACAUAGUAUGGUUAUUAUUACUUUAUACUGACAUGGGUUGGAGUUGUUUGCUUAUGCUUAGAGGCCAGUCGAAGGCCGUUAUUCUUAAAAGAAAAAUGGCCUGCAAGUGCCAGCGAGUAGGAGGCAAAAUAUUUUUAACUUUGCAACUGUUGGACACGGGGCAGUGUUUUAACUAAUUAACCCUUUCAUGCACAAAAAAUAACCGAUAAGGAUUUUUUUUCCCUCAAGUGUUUUUAUUCAUCUCUAGGCAUGAAAAAAAUGGCAGUGGAUGGCAACACACAUAAGGGUCCAUUGUAGUGGUUGAUUCACAACUGUGACAUUAAGAUGAAUUAAUAUAUGAGAAAACGUUUGCAAGCGGCAAAGAGGGAGGAGCAGGGUGAACUUGACGAGUUGUAUUAAAACACAGAAAAUAAAUCCAGAACAAACAGUCAUGAAAACAAAAAGAUUCCAAAGCAACAAACCAAAACCAUGGCUGUGGCAAAAAAAACUAACAGGAACAAAAACAUGACAGCGGCAAGCAACAAGCAAAAAAACAAACAAACAAACAAACAAACAUGACAGUAGCCAACAGCAACAAUGACCCGACAAUAAGUGUUUAGGCGGGAGUCCUUUUAAAUGGCUAACGACAUAACGACCGACAGGUGUGCAGCUGCAGGGGGAGCCCUACAGUGUCACCUGUUGGUCACAAACCGAAACAUGACAAAAACAACAUCAGCUAAAAUCCUGAUAUUUAGUUCGCUCAGUAGUAACAGUGUGACUGUCGUGAUAGUAUGUCGUGUGAUUUAAAAAAAAAGUUUUAAUCCAUGCUAUGUCAAAACAGAAAGUGGUCAGACGAAUACGUAUGUACAACAUGGAUUCACAUGCAUCAUGGGCUGCGAUGGGACUCUUUUCUACAUGAUUUGUCAUGCCAAGUUGAGGGUAAGGGUUCAGUCAUGUGCAUAUGAACUGGUUGGGUUCGGUACCUCAAACAAUAUUAAGAACCAAAUUGCAAAUUUCGUUCCAAUAAGUAGACUAGAUUUCAGACUUGCAAAAAGCAGGUUUAUAACUUGAACCAUAAGUGGUGUAAUGCUAUUUUAGUGUAUUUUAUCAAGGCGCAGGCAGGCAGAUCAGGAUGUGCGUAGUGGAAGUCCAUCCAUCCAUGCAUUUACUAAUCUGCUGAUCCUCACGAGGGUCGCGGGUGCGCUGCAGCCUAUCCCUUCUGUCUUCGAGCAGUAGGCGGGGUAGACCCUGAACUGGUAGCCAGCCGAUCGCAGGGCACACCUAGACGAACAAACAUUCACAUUCACAGUGGGGGACAAUUUUAGAGCAGGGGUGUCAAACAUUUUCACCAAGGGCCACAUCAGCAAAAUGGCUUUCUUCAAAGGGCCAGAUGUAACUUAUAAUUGUAACUUAAAAUAAUUGAAUGAAACGUAAAAUACAUGUAACUUGUAAGUGUGUAAAUGUAAGACCUCUGCCCUAGAUCCUCCAGGCAAAGAGCACUACCCUGGCCAGUGCCAGCUUUGACAAGCUGGUCUUCCUCAAGAGGAACACGUCCCUAUUGGGGUACCCCACCUAUAAAGAGCAUUUUGACGCAUAAAUGCUUUCAAUAAUGUUUAUGAAUGAAGGGGACGAAUAAAGGUUAUCUUAUCUUGAAUUAUGAAACUUCUACCGUGAGCGGAUCCGCAAAAUAGGGUAAAGUACCCAUCUCUGGUGAUCAAUUAUGCGGUUAUGUAGAGAGGUGGGAGGGAAUUGUGAACAGUUCUAAAUCUCAAUUAGCGUAUUUUCCACACUAAAAGGCGCACCUAAAAACCUGCCAUUUUCUUAAAAGCUCAAAGUGCACCUUACAAUCCGAGGUGUCUUGUGUAUGGUCAUUAUGGGGAUAUUUCGACCCCAAAAUGGCUCCUUGCUCGAGACAUGCUGACAAUGCAGUCCAAAUACAAGUCAAAUACAGUUCAAACUUAAGGCGAUCGGUAACGCAGUUGAACAUGGAAAUAGAGCAGCGGCAAGAGAGUUCAAUGUUAACGAGUCAAUGUUAUAACUUGCUGUUGGUUCAGUGAACUGUGUCGCUGCUUUAUUAAAUACAUUUUACUGACAUCUGAUUGGAGCGGCUCAGUAGUCCAGUGGUUAGCACGUCGGCUUCACAGUGCAGAGGGUUCGAUUCCAGCUCCGGCCUCCCUGUGUGGAGUUUGUUCUCCCCAUGUCUGCAUGGGUUUUCUCCGGGUGGUCCGGUUUCCUCCCACAUUCCAAAAACAUGCAUGGCUGAUCGGACGCUCUAAAUUGUCCCUAGGUGUGAGUGUGGGCGUGGAUGGUUCUUCGUCUCUGUGUGCCCUGCGAUUGGCUGGCAACUGAUUCAGGGUGUCCCCCGCCUACUGCCCGAAGACGGCCGGGAUGGGCUCCAGCACCCCCCGCGACCCUAGUGAGGAUCAAGCGUUUCGGAAAAUGGAUGGAUGGAUGGAUGGAUGGAUGAUAUCUGAUUGUUCUGUUGGUGUUUCCUUGAGUGUAGCUCUAUCUAGUGGAUGCAUUGUAUAUUGCGUAUUAUAAUGCUGUGCGCCCAAUGUAUGAAAAAAAUUACAAAAUAGGCCAUUCAUUGAAGGUGCGCCUCAUAAUCCAGUGCGACUUUUAGUGUGGAAAAUACGGUUGGGUAAAUUUUUUUUU